AGAUGCACAUGAAAUUUGGUGCCGUGACUCGGAUUGGGGGACCUCCCUUGGGAGAUCAAUCCCCUGUACUCCUGUUCUUUGCUCCGUGAGAAAGAUCCACCUAUGACCCUCAGGUCCUCAGACCGACUAGCCCAAGGAACAUCUCACCAAUUUUAAAUCAGGUGGAGUCUCGCACUGUCAUCCUGGCUGGAAUGCAGUGGUGCAAGCCGACUCACUGCAACCUCUGCCUCUUGGGUUCAAGUGAUUCUCCUGCUUCAGCCUCCUGAUUUGCUGGGAUUGCAGAGCAAACCAGUGAAAAAAUGGCCUUCGCACUCCUGAGAGACCUUUCACCGGGCUUUCUACUUUUGAAUUCUCUCCAUAGCUGGUUUCCUCUUAGGCCUCGAUAGAGCAGUCCCUGAAUCACACAGGUAUGCUGACUACGUCUUUUCCUGGUACAAACCAUCAUGGGGGAAACACACAGCAAGAAGCAUCUUCAGGUCACAAGAUAGGUAAUACCAUCUACCUGAAUUUUUUCAAAAGCAGCAGAAUAUUUAGUUUUCUAUUUCAGUGGCUUCUAACAGAGAUCAUUGUUUGCACAAGAUUAAAUGUCUGCAGUGGUCGUCUUAAAAAAAAA
rnacentral:lncRNA from 1 species